rnacentral:rRNA from 1 species
AACGAACGCUGGCGGCAUGCCUAACACAUGCAAGUCGAACGAGACCUUCGGGUCUAGUGGCGCACGGGUGCGUAACGCGUGGGAACCUGCCCUUAGGUUCGGAAUAACUCCCCGAAAGGGGUGCUAAUACCGGAUAAUGUCUUCGGACCAAAGAUUUAUCGCCUUUGGAUGGGCCCGCGUUGGAUUAGCUAGUUGGUAGGGUAAAAGCCUACCAAGGCGACGAUCCAUAGCUGGUCUGAGAGGAUGAUCAGCCACACUGGGACUGAGACACGGCCCAGACCCCCCCGGGGGGAAGCAGUGGGGAUUGUUGGACAAGGGGCGAAGCCCUGAUCCCGCAUUGCCGGGUGGGUGAUGAGGGCCUUGGGUUUGUAAAGCUCUUUUACCCGGGAUGAUAAUGACAGUCCCGGGAGAAUAAGCCCCGGCUAACUCCGU